CCUACGGGAGGCAGCAGUGAGGAAUAUUGGUCAAUGGACGAGAGUCUGAACCAGCCAAGUAGCGUGAAGGAUGGCUGCCCUAUGGGUUGUAAACUUCUUUUAUAUGGGAAUAAAAUGUUCCACGUUUGGGAUUUUGUAUGUACCAUAUGAAUAAGGAUCGGCUAACUCCGUGCAAGCAGCCGCGGUAAUACGGAGGAUCCGAGCGUUCUCCGGAUUUAUUGGGUUUAAAGGUAGCGUAGGUUGAUUGUUAAGUCAGGUGUGAAAGUUUGCGGAUCAACCGUAAAAUUGCAGUUGAAACUGGCAGUCUUGAGUACAGUAGAGGUGGGCGGAAUUCGUGGUGUAGCGGUGAAAUGCUUAGAUAUCACGAAGAACUCCGAGUGCGAAGGCAGCUCACUGGACUGCAACUGACACUGAGGCUCGAAAGUGUGGGUAUCAAACAGGAUUAGAUACCCGAGUAGUC
rnacentral:rRNA from 1 species